rnacentral:rRNA from 1 species
AUUGAACGUUGGCGGCAUGCCUUACACAUGCAAGUCGAACGGCAGCACGGAGCUUGCUCUGGUAGCGAGUGGCGAACGGGUGAGUAAUAUAUCGGAACGUACCCUAGAGUGGGGGAUAACGUAGCGAAAGUUACGCUAAUACCGCAUACGAUCUAAGGAUGAAAGUGGGGGAUCGCAAGACCUCAUGCUCGUGGAGCGGCCGAUAUCUGAUUAGCUAGUUGGUAGGGUAAAAGCCUACCAAGGCAUCGAUCAGUAGCUGGUCUGAGAGGACGACCAGCCACACUGGAACUGAGACACGGUCCAGACUCCUACGGGAGGCAGCAGUGGGGAAUUUUGGACAAUGGGCGAAAGCCUGAUCCAGCAAUGCCGCGUGAGUGAAGAAGGCCUUCGGGUUGUAAAGCUCUUUUGUCAGGGAAGAAACGGUGAGAGCUAAUAUCUCUUGCUAAUGACGGUACCUGAAGAAUAAGCACCGGCUAACUACGUGCCAGCAGCCGCGGUAAUACGUAGGGUGCAAGCGUUAAUCGGAAUUACUGGGCGUAAAGCGUGCGCAGGCGGUUUUGUAAGUCUGAUGUGAAAUCCCCGGGCUCAACCUGGGAAUUGCAUUGGAGACUGCAAGGCUAGAAUCUGGCAGAGGGGGGUAGAAUUCCACGUGUAGCAGUGAAAUGCGUAGAUAUGUGGAGGAACACCGAUGGCGAAGGCAGCCCCCUGGGUCAAGAUUGACGCUCAUGCACGAAAGCGUGGGGAGCAAACAGGAUUAGAUACCCUGGUAGUCCACGCCCUAAACGAUGUCUACUAGUUGUCGGGUCUUAAUUGACUUGGUAACGCAGCUAACGCGUGAAGUAGACCGCCUGGGGAGUACGGUCGCAAGAUUAAAACUCAAAGGAAUUGACGGGGACCCGCACAAGCGGUGGAUGAUGUGGAUUAAUUCGAUGCAACGCGAAAAACCUUACCUACCCUUGACAUGGCUGGAAUCCUUGAGAGAUCAGGGAGUGCUCGAAAGAGAACCAGUACACAGGUGCUGCAUGGCUGUCGUCAGCUCGUGUCGUGAGAUGUUGGGUUAAGUCCCGCAACGAGCGCAACCCUUGUCAUUAGUUGCUACGAAAGGGCACUCUAAUGAGACUGCCGGUGACAGACCGGAGGAAGGUGGGGAUGACGUCAAGUCCUCAUGGCCCUUAUGGGUAGGGCUUCACACGUCAUACAAUGGUACAUACAGAGCGCCGCCAACCCGCGAGGGGGAGCUAAUCGCAGAAAGUGUAUCGUAGUCCGGAUUGUAGUCUGCAACUCGACUGCAUGAAGUUGGAAUCGCUAGUAAUCGCGGAUCAGCAUGUCGCGGUGAAUACGUUCCCGGGUCU